rnacentral:rRNA from 1 species
UACGUAGGGGGCAAGCGUUGUCCGGAUUUAUUGGGCGUAAAGAGCGUGUAGGCGGCCAGGGAGGUCCGUUGUGAAAACUCGAGGCUCAACCUCGAGACGCCGAUGGAAACCCCCUGGCUAGAGUCCGGAAGAGGAGAAUGGAAUUCCUGGUGUAGCGGUGAAAUGCGCAGAUAUCAGGAAGAACACCCGUGGCUAAGGCGGUUCUCUAGUACGGUACUGACGCUGAGGCACGAAGGCCAGGGAGCAAACGGG